UUCUUUCAUCGGAGCUGCUUUACCUGUCAUCAGUGCGGCAUCACGCUCCGACUCGGAGGCUACACCUUUGACAAGAAUACAGGAAGGUUUUACUGUGAGCUGCACUCUGAAGAACUGUUGCUUCCAAUUGAGCUGGAACCAUUUUGUGAGGAUAGCAAAGAAAAUCACAC